GGCAGCUUGGCCGAGUGGUUAAGGCGAUGGCCUGCUAAGCCAUUAGGGUAACCUGCGUGAGUUCGAAUCUCACAGCUGUCG
rfam:Albugo candida, Ac Nc2, WGS project CAIX01000000 data, contig: AcNc2_CONTIG_34_length_127434